ensembl:lncRNA
CAGCAACGGCCACUUCACAGCCGCUCCCCGCCUCCGAGUUCCCGGUGCCACGUCUGCCAAAGCAUGCGCACCAAGCUAGGAGAGGCGGCCCGGAGAGGUGCCUGCCGGGAGUUGUAGUUCAGGAGCAGCUUGCCUCUACCUUGGACUUUGCCUGAGGACACAGAGCUGCAGCUUUCCAGGGCAUCUGAUCCCAUUUUCUGAUCUCCAAGGGCAUAAGGCAUGAUCGUGGUACUCAUACAUAUGGGUUCAACAUUCACAAAUCCAACCAACUGUGGGUCUAGAACAUUCUGCACAAAGAUCAUCAGCCGUGCUGAACCUGCAUAGAUUUCUUCCUUGUUAUUUCCCCCUAAACAUUGAACAUCUAUUUACAUAACAUUUGCAUUGCACUAAGUAUCAUAAAUAAUGGAGAGAUGAUGUGACGUGAACAAGAGCCAUACACAGAGUCCCAGACAGGACCUCAGCCGUGACUGUUCCCAGUGCUGUCUGGGAGAAUGGCCCUAUGAUGUCAUAUCGAGGCACUUCAGAAAUUUCUAAAGCAGAUUGGAGACGUGGCUUUCUCACACACUCAGCAACUUCAGUCUCACAACUGACUUAACUCUUCUCAGGGAAUCUAUUUCUCAUCUGCAAAAUGAAGUUUGUAAGAAAAACCAAACCCCUUCCUGUGUUAGUGCUGUGUCCUUGUGACAAAAUACCCCACAGGAGUCUUAAGGAAGAGUUAUUUGCGUUUCUGAGUCGAGAGCAUGGAGAAGCACAGUCCUCGCCAUGUUGACCAGAAAGCAGGCUCAGAGCUGUUCGUGCUAGCUGACUUGCUUCUCUUACCUCUUCAUUCGAUCUGGGUCCUCAGUCUAUGGGACUGUGAGGCCUACAUUCAAGGUGGGUCUCUCUCCAGAACGCCUUACUUAAUCAUUUCUGGAAACAUUGUCACAAACAUGCCUACUCUGAUGCUGAGGGGAAAGCAGGCAGACCUGAGGGAAUACACCCUGUGGGUUUCUGUUAACCUCAAGUUCAACAGACAGGGGUGAUCUGUGAUGGUAGAAAGAAAAAUCAAGUUGGGAGGAAUAUAGGGG